rnacentral:rRNA from 1 species
AACAAACGCUGGCGGCGUGCCUAAUACAUGCAAGUCGAACGGGGAAAGCUUUCGGGUGAGUACUAGUGGCGCACGGGUGAGUAACGCGUGGAUAAUCUGCCUUAGAGUGGGGGAUAACUAGUCGAAAGAUUAGCUAAUACCGCAUAAGACCACAGGAGCUGCGGCUCAAGGGGUCAAAGGUUUUUCGCUUUAAGAUGAGUCCGCGUAAGAUUAGCUAGUUGGUGAGGUAACGGCUCACCAAGGCGACGAUCCUUAACUGGUCUGAGAGGAUGAUCAGUCACACUGGAACUGAGACACGGUCCAGACUCCUACGGGAGGCAGCAGUAGGGAAUAUUGCACAAUGGAGGAAACUCUGAUGCAGCGACGCCGCGUAGGUGAUGAAGGCCUUCGGGUCGUAAAGCUCUGUCGCAGGGGAAUAACACAAUGAAGGUACCCUGUAAGAAAGGAUCGGCUAACUUCGUGCCAGCCGCCGCGGUAA